CGAACGGGUGAGUAACACGUGAGCAAUCUGCCCUUCACAUCGGAAUAACUUCGGGAAACCGAAGCUAAUACCGGAUACGACCACCGAAGGCAUCUUCUGGUGGUGGAAAGUUCCGGCGGUGAAGGAUGAGCUCGCGGCCUAUCAGCUUGUUGGUGGGGUAAUGGCCUACCAAGGCGACGACGGGUAGCCGGCCUGAGAGGGUGACCGGCCACACUGGGACUGAGACACGGCCCAG
rnacentral:rRNA from 1 species